AGGAAAGCACUUGAACAUGGAAACUCCCACUCCACUUUAUUUGUGAGUUAGCCCUGCAGGAGGAUGAGGCAGGAAUUGAGACGCUAUAAGUGGACUAAGUGGCCAAAGCCUGUGACAUUAAGGAGUAGGAAAGGAUGCUGAGAGGAUAAUCUCAGAGAUGCAGCUCUCCAGCUGAUGAAAAUCAGAAGAGCCAGAUAAUCACUGAGAGGGAUUCCCACCUAGAAAGAAGGCAAUUGCAGGGGCUUUAAGAAAAAGGGUGCAGUAGUUGCUCCAGUUCUGCCUGUCAUUCCUGCACCACUGCCUUUCCAAGCACUGUCUCUUAAGAUGCUGGAGGAGGGGCUGAGGCCCUUUUAAUGAAGUGAAAGGAUGAGCGGGAGGCUGACCAGAACAGCAGUGGAAAGAGCAAAGACACAUGCUGAGAGCCCUGUGCAUGGGGAAACCAGAGCCGCAGCUUGUUCCAGACCCCGGAGCCUCUGAAGCACAGAUGUCUCCAGGAAAUCUUCACGCUUCACCCCAACAGAGCUCUGGCCAGGAAAAGAAUCUCCUUGGUCUAUUUUAAGUUGUAAAAGGAAAGAAUAUGAGACUCUUCCUAAAUUCUUGAAACCGGUAUCUGGGCCUCUGGGAAUGAAGAAAGACUCUGACUGUGACUGCAUUUAGGGGCAGUACCAUUUCCUUGGGAGAUAUAAAUUGCAGUGAAGACAAACAAAAAUACUGCUGAGAAGUCGAGAGGUUGAUUUGAUGUCGGUGUUGAUGCGGCGCGCUCCCAAAUGUGGUGCAGCAGCUGUGAGCCAGAGCUACAAAUCCCCAGCAAACAGACAGGACAGCCCAGCGCCGAGCCCGGCUCGUGCUGCAGAUAUGGCUCUCCAGGACUGCUGCGCUGUGAACUGAACGACACCGAGGCGCUACCAAAAAGCACAAACAGCAAAGUCUGCGCUGGAGGAAAGCAAAGCGCAAAGCGAAACCGGUAGACAGCGAACUGAUGAAACAACUCGUUAGAAAGAGAGGUUUGUAUUAGGAAUUUCCUAGUUUGUUGGUAAACCCAUUUCAGUGGCCUCAGCUUUGCUGUCACCCACGUGGACGUGGAAAGGUUUUGGCUGAGAAUGAUCUAUUCAGCAAAGAUGCAAAUUCCGUAUUGCAGCCCCUGUAUUCACAGCAGCGAAUUUGAGCAGCACAGCAGAGAAUACGGCUCUGCUUUCCUCGGUGAGUUUCCCACCUACAUCAGAUCUAUUUACUCUUCCCUGCUCCAUAUGAAAUAAGAAAAUAGGGAAGGAGCUUUCAGCCCUCGCACCCUGAAGCCCGAUGUCCGUUUGUUGCUGUUCCCAUUGGGACGAACAGCAGCGCAGCGCAGUGCGGCUGAUGGGCUUUGGGUCCAUUGCACAGGGAUUGGGCACUCACACUCAGCCUGCAGAGUUCAGAGCUACAUCGCCGUGAUUUUGGAGGGCUUGGAUCAGCUCUUUUUGUUUCCCUAGAGGCAGCGCUAUCCUAUGGGAUGUGUAAUUACUCAGUGCUGUCUUUCAUUAUGGAAUUAUCAAAAGGGCAGUUACCAUUCCUGAUGAAUGUUUUUUGUUUCAUCAGCAGGCUGAUAUUUCAGUUUUGGUCAGGGAACAAGAAAGCAGCUUCACUCAAAGCAGAACAUCCAGCUUCAUGCCACUGGAUCGUAAUUUCACACAUAAGCAACUGCUGUGGGAACAAAGGACAGAGGUGAAGGCAAUGUUUUCUCCUUUUCAGUGAAAAUAUCUUCAUGCUCUCUCAUUCCCAAUAGCUGAGAGCAGAAUUUAGACACAAUUUGUGCUUAAAAUUGGAGGCACCUGGGGAGGGAGGUUUGUAAGAGGGGAGAGAGGAGUAAUGAGUGUAAAAAAUAGAAAACAAAACUUUAUUUUAAAAUGAGGACAAAGGAGGAUUUCUCUGAAGGCAAACAAGAGCUGCCCAUGGAUGUUUCUUGCUAUUAAAACAUAUGUUUUCAGAAGUUAGAAGUCAUGGAUGUAAUAAAACCGUGGACCCAAGAUUGAAAUAACGCUGCAUCUUCUGAGCCAGCCCUCCUUCAUUCACUCCGACCAGCAGAUGCGGAGAUUUCAGUGCCAUCACUUAUGCAGGGAAAAUACACAGACGAGGAAUGUUAGAGCACACCCAGCUCCAGAAGUGUUCAAUAUAAUUUCAGGAAGUGUGACAUAUGUGGUGGAUUUUAACUUAAAGCUCAUGUACACACACCUAUCCACAUCGAACCCCGGGUUACACUUCAUCCCGAUGUGAAAACUGACCAGAAAUGCAAGAAAACCGACUGCUUUCUGUUGUUGCCACAUCUGUAUCACAAAGUGCUCUCGUUCCCAUUGGGUUUGUGCCCCAUUGACACUAAUGGCAGCAGGAACAGCCAAAAACACAGAAAUGUGUGCUGAGUGUUGCUGGCCAUAGCUCCAUCAUUACUUUGUGCCGGCAUUAUUCUGUCACUGUUUUCUGCUGAGUGCCCUGCAGGACGGCUGUGUCACCCAACAAACCCAACUAACACAUGUUCUAACUUUAACCCACAUUUUUUUCAUGGCCAGAAACAUGUAGAAAACAAAUAAAUGAACAUUUAGUCGAGAGGUUUAAUUAAGCAAGCAAUUAAAGAUGCUCGCACUGCGAAGUCUGUUUGUGUUAGUAGUACUUAUUCCCUUCUCAGAGAAACCUUUAUUGUCCAAAGGUUUAUAUUGUGGAAAAUCACUGCCUUAACCUAAUUUUCCCUGCAUCAAAUAUAACUUAACCCACAGAAUAUAUUGUUGUGGAGUGAUGCCUUGUUUGUUGUUUCUGAAAUGAACAACCCCUUCCUUGGUGGUGCCCUGGGUUGGGUUUUUUAAGUACCAAUCUCAGGAGGGAAGGAGGAAUUUAUUUCAAGAGGAAUUUCUCCUUCUCAGGGAAACAAUUUCUUCUUUGUCUAUCGCAGCAUCCUGAGCUUGCUGAAGGACUGCACUGACCUGAGAGGAGGAGGGCGUGAGAUCUAAGGACAGCUUCAGCCCACAGGGGGCACAACAUUUCUCCCCCUAUCUCUAUUUUUAUGAUUCUUUAAGCAAGCAUUUUGCACCUGGCAGCUCUGAGAAACUCCGCGCUGCUCUGAGCUGCUGCUUCCUUGCAGGAUCGGGCAUUUAAUGAGCUCUCAGCAGCCUGAUCCCGUUAGCACUUGCUCAAGUAAAUAACUGG
rnacentral:lncRNA from 1 species